rnacentral:rRNA from 1 species
UACGUAGGGUGCGAGCGUUGUCCGGAAUUAUUGGGCGUAAAGAGCUCGUAGGCGGUCUGUCGCGUCUGCUGUGAAAACUCAGGGCUUAACCCUGAGCUUGCAGUGGGUACGGGCAGACUAGAGUGCGGUAGGGGAGACUGGAAUUCCUGGUGUAGCGGUGAAAUGCGCAGAUAUCAAGGAGGAACACCGGUGGCGAAGGCGGGUCUCUGGGCCGUAACUGACGCUGGAGGAGCGAAAGCAUGGGGAGCGAACAGG